rnacentral:rRNA from 1 species
UACGUAGGGGGCAAGCGUUGUCCGGAUUUAUUGGGCGUAAAGAGCGUGUAGGCGGCUUUGCAAGUCCGUUGUGAAAACUCGAGGCUCAACCUCGAGACGCCGGUGGAAACUGCAAAGCUAGAGUCCGGAAGAGGAGAGUGGAAUUCCUGGUGUAGCGGUGAAAUGCGCAGAUAUCAGGAAGAACACCCGUGGCGAAGGCGGCUCUCUGGGACGGUACUGACGCUGAGGUGCGAAAGCGUGGGGAGCAAACAGG